rnacentral:rRNA from 1 species
UACGGAGGGGGCUAGCGUUGUUCGGAAUUACUGGGCGUAAAGCGCACGUAGGCGGCUUUGUAAGUUAGAGGUGAAAGCCCGGGGCUCAACUCCGGAAUUGCCCUUAAGACUGCAUCGCUAGAAUUGUGGAGAGGUAAGUGGAAUUCCGAGUGUAGAGGUGAAAUUCGUAGAUAUUCGGAAGAACACCAGUGGCGAAGGCGACUUACUGGACACAUAUUGACGCUGAGGUGCGAAAGCGUGGGGAGCAAACAGG